GUGCUGAAUGCUAGUCAGAUUCACUGGGGGGCUGAGUAUGCUCAACAUAUGUUACCAAGGCGCAUGUGCUCAGCCAGUCUAACAUAAUCAUGGGUUUUGUUGGCUUGCUGAAAUGCCUUGCUGUUUUCUAACUUCAACAGGUAACCUUCAUCAGCUAAUCAGACUGGAAAUAUUCACAAAAAUACACAAAAUCUAUAAGUAUCCGUUUUGGACUGGACGUUAACAGAUAACUAAAAGAAUGCUGAUGAGUGCAGUUAAAAGGUCUGCAUGCUUGUCAGAAGAUGUUACGCCUUCCUCAUAGUAUCCCUCACAAUUAUAGAGCAACAGAUAACUCAAAAUUUAAUUGCUGUUCACAAAUAGUUCCCUGGCUUUACACUUUUUACUGUGGGCAAAACUGACAGCUAUCCAGCACAAGAUCUGAUCACCAGUCAAAUUCCAGGAAAGCCAGCAAUCUUAUGGAGCACAGCCAGACAUUCAAAUCACACAGCUCCAGUUUCUUUCAGCUCUGGUUUGUCCAGUGUUAUGCAAUCCAUGACUUCACAAGAAAAGAAUCAGCAAUAAAAUCCAGUCUUCUUGCUCCAAACAGAUGUUACAGUUAUACUGAUACAUUAACAGGACCAGAAAGUGUCCUCAGGGACUGGAAUUCAAUCAUGUUUACUGGUAAGUUUCUUCAGCUUUUGGGCCCAGCCCAAUUAGUUCAUACCUGAGCAGUUUCUGGGAAUUAAUUUAGCAUGCAUCAGGGAUCGUUCUUAAUCGGCAGAAUGG
rnacentral:lncRNA from 1 species